CUGGCCCUAAAUCAAGGCCGGCAGCUUCCCUGACGCUGUUGGUUUCAAGCAGGAGCCUAAAGAGAUGUCUUUCUAUGGUCUGUUGGCCAUUUCAGAACUUGGGCAGUGAAAUGGUCGAUUCAUUACAAAGAGACAGCU
ensembl:snoRNA